UGCCAUGAAAAUUAAAUCAUUUCGAUUUUUUGUGAAUUUGUUUGCUUUUUUGUGGGAUAAUCAAUUAUUCGGAAUGUGGCAGUGAUUAUCGUGCCACGCCCACGCCGCACAAGGCAUACUAAAUCACUGUGUGAUUAAUAUUCGAUUUGGUUAGGCAAUACGCAUGCAAGGACAGGAUAUCUACCCUGUCUUUUUGGGGACGGAGGCAGGGUUGCCAGCCAGCCGGCGGCUGGAGCGCACGGGUGUUGCCACACUUCUCUGAAGUUUAGAGCUGCACUUUUGACGUUACAAGAUGCCUUUGCCUCUGUUACCGACUGAAUGCCUGCACUGACAAAAAAAAGUUUCGGCAAUCUAGUUUGGAACACCAAGACACUAUAAGCUCUUCCCAGUAUAUUUUAUAUGACAUUCAUGAAGAUAUCAGCAAUACCUAAUUUUGUAUUAUCAAUGGGAACUAAUAUUAUCUGUAUAUCAUAAGUAUUUACCAUGAUACUAUGAUGAUUUUUUCGCUCUGUGUGACACUGGUCAGAGGGUCGGGGCUGAUGGGGCACAACGACGGAUGAGCUAACUGAAAUUUGUCGCAACAAAUGAGGGGAAGGCGGCAGGCAUCCACAAUCCUGAAAUGGGACAAGUUUUUGGCGCGUUAAAUUUAAUGCUUUCGUUUUUGUGUGUGGAGACUAUACAAGAUGUGCAAGAUGUGCCAAAAAUUUGGUCAUACUCUCUGCAAACAAUUCUCCAUCACAUUUUGAGCUGCCCCGUAUUCCAAACUCGAACCCAACCCAAACUCAAACCCCUCUGGCGUAAGGAAAACGCAUUUUGAAAGCUUUUAGCUGUUAA